rnacentral:rRNA from 1 species
GUAGUCCACGCCGUAAACGAUGGGCGCUAGGUGUGGGCGGUGUCGACUCCGUCCGUGCCGAAGCUAACGCAUUAAGCGCCCCGCCUGGGGAGUACGGCCGCAAGGCUAAAACUCAAAGGAAUUGACGGGGCCCGCACAAGCAGCGGAGCAUGUGGUUUAAUUCGACGCAACGCGAAGAACCUUACCAGGGCUUGACAUGCACGGGAAUUGCGUAGAAAUACGUAAGCCCUUCGGGGGCUCGUGCACAGGUGGUGCAUGGCUGUCGUCAGCUCGUGUCGUGAGAUGUUGGGUUAAG